AUUGAACGCUGGCGGCAGGCCUAACACAUGCGAGUCGAGCGGAUGAAGGGAGCUUGCUCCUGGAUUCAGCGGCGGACGGGUGAGUAAUGCCUAGGAAUCUGCCUGGUAGUGGGGGAUAACGUCCGGAAACGGGCGCUAAUACCGCAUACGUCCUGAGGGAGGAAGUGGGGGAUCUUCGGACCUCACGCUAUCAGAUGAGCCUAGGUCGGAUUAGCUAGUUGGUGGGGUGAAGGCCUACCAAGGCGACGAUCCGUAACUGGUCUGAGAGGAUGAUCAGUCACACUGGAAGUGGGACACGGUCAAGACUACUACGGGACGCAGCAGUGGGGAAUGUUGGGCAAUGGGCGGAAGUCUGAUACAGCCAUGCCGCGUGUGUGAAGAAGGUCUUCGGAUUGUAAAGACCUUUAAGUUGGGAGGAAGGGCAGUAAGUUAAUACCUUGCUGUUUUGACGUUACCAACAGAAUAAGCACCGGCUAACUUCGUG
rnacentral:rRNA from 1 species